CCGAGUUUACAACUCCCAAACCCCUGUGAACAUACCACUAGUUGCCUCGGCGGAUCAGCCCGCUCCCGGUAAAACGGGACGGCCCGCCAGAGGACCCCUAAACUCUGUUUCUAUAUGUAACUUCUGAGUAAAACCAUAAAUAAAUCA
rnacentral:misc_RNA from 1 species